UACGGGGGGAGCAAGCGUUGUUCGGAUUUACUGGGCGUAAAGGGCGCGUAGGCGGUCAGCACAAGUCAGUUGUGAAAUCUCCGGGCUUAACUCGGAAAGGUCAACUGAUACUGUGCGACUAGAGUGCAGAAGGGGCAACUGGAAUUCUCGGUGUAGCGGUGAAAUGCGUAGAUAUCGAGAGGAACACCUGCGGCGAAGGCGGGUUGCUGGGC
rnacentral:rRNA from 1 species